UCCGUAGGGCGCAAGCGUUGUCCGGAAUUAUUGGGCGUAAAGAGCUCGUAGGCGGUGUGUCACGUCGGCCGUGAAAACCUGGGGCUUAACUCUGGGCGUGCGGUCGAUACGGGCAUCACUAGAGUUCGGCAGGGGAGACUGGAAUUCCUGGUGUAGCGGUGAAAUGCGCAGAUAUCAGGAGGAACACCGGUGGCGAAGGCGGUUCUCUGGGCCUGUACUGACGCUGAGGAGCGAAAGCGUGGGGAGCGAACAGG
rnacentral:rRNA from 1 species